UUUUAUUUAAAAAAAUAUUUACAAGAUAACUAGCUUAAGAAGAAAAAACAAACUUCACAGAUUUUGUUAAAUAUGAAUAGUUUGAUUAUGAUUAUAAAAACAAAAAAGAAAGGUACAUAUAAAAUAUUCUAUUAAAAAGUGUAAAAUUAUAUGUUAUCUUUUAGCUAUUGCCUAUCAUGCUCAUACACACAUACUAGGAUGGGACGUGUAAUUCUCUCUAUUGGUGUGUUUUUUACACUUUGGAAAGCCCAAACCUUUUGUAAUAAUAACCUUUGAUCUAUGAAAGGUAUAGCUUAGAGCAUCUCCAAUGGUGAGGGUGCUUACACAUUUUUUUACAUUAAUUUUUAUAAAAUAAAUUCAUAAGCAACUUUAUUUUGAUGUUAAAAAUAUUGGUGAUCCAAUGGUAUGAUUCUUAAUGAAGUGUUUAAAACAAAAACAAAAUUUAUUCUUCAGUUGGAUCUUCGAUUGAGCUGCUCUUAUAAACCCCCUUGGACCAAACCACACAUUGAUUCUUCAGUUAGAUCUUCGAUUGAGUCAACAUUUCGGAUCCGAUCUUGAAGUUUUAUCACCACCGAUUAAACCAUCGAUCAAGAGAGAAAAUGAUUACGAAGAUAAGAGAAGAAAAUAACACGUAUACCCCUCUCAAAUUACCAGAAACUGAUUCGUUUUCCAUGCUUUCUUCAUCCAUGGAGAGAAAGAGAGAGAAACUAGGGAGAGAGAGACUCCGGAUAAAGAGAGAGAGAAAGUUCAGAAUUUUUUUUUUCUAUUUUCCUUCCACC
rnacentral:lncRNA from 1 species